CAAAGAGGGGGACCUUCGGGCCUCUCGCGUCAGGAUAUGCCUAGGUGGGAUUAGCUAGUUGGUGAGGUAAGGGCUCACCAAGGCGACGAUCCCUAGCUGGUCUGAGAGGAUGAUCAGCCACACUGGAACUGAGACACGGUCCAGACUCCUACGGGAGGCAGCAGUGGGGAAUAUUGCACAAUGGGCGCAAGCCUGAUGCAGCCAUGCCGCGUGUGUGAAGAAGGCCUUCGGGUUGUAAAGCACUUUCAGUCGUGAGGAAGGUAGUGUAGUUAAUAGCUGCAUUAUUUGACGUUAGCGACAGAAGAAGCACCGGCUAACUCCGUGCCAGCAGCCGCGGUAAUACGGAGGGUGCGAGCGUUAAUCGGAAU
rnacentral:rRNA from 1 species